UACGGGGGGGGCAAGCGUUGUUCGGAAUUACUGGGCGUAAAGCGCGCGUAGGCGGCUUUGUAAGUUAGAGGUGAAAGCCCGGAGCUCAACUCCGGAACUGCCUUUAAGACUGCAUCGCUAGAAUCAUGGAGAGGUGAGUGGAAUUCCGAGUGUAGAGGUGAAAUUCGUAGAUAUUCGGAAGAACACCAGUGGCGAAGGCGACUCACUGACAUGUAUGACGCUGAGGUGCGAAAGCGUGGGAGCAAACAGG
rnacentral:rRNA from 1 species